UACGGGGGGGGCAAGCGUUGUUCGGAAUUACUGGGCGUAAAGCGCGUGUAGGCGGUCUGAAUAGUCUGCUGUGAAAGCGCCUGGCUUAACCGGGCGAGGUCGGCGGAAACUCUCAGACUGGAGGCCGGUAGAGGGGGGUGGAAUUCCCGGUGUAGUGGUGAAAUGCGCAGAUAUCGGGAAGAACACCCGUGGCGAAGGCGGCUCUCUGGGACGGUACUGACGCUGAGACGCGAAAGCGUGGGGAGCGAACAGG
rnacentral:rRNA from 1 species